UGGGGAAUUUUGGACAAUGGGCGAAAGCCUGAUCCAGCAAUGCCGCGUGUGUGAAGAAGGCCUUCGGGUUGUAAAGCACUUUUGUCCGGAAAGAAAUCCUUGGCUCUAAUACAGUCGGGGGAUGACGGUACCGGAAGAAUAAGCACCGGCUAACUACGUGCCAGCAGCCGCGGUAAUACGUAGGGUGCAAGCGUUAAUCGGAAUUACUGGGCGUAAAGCGUGCGCAGGCGGUUUGCUAAGACCGAUGUGAGAUCCCCGGGCUCAACCUGGGAACUGCAUUGGUGACUGGCAGGCUAGAGUAUGGCAGAGGGGGGUAGAAUUCCACGUGUAGCAGUGAAAUGCGUAGAGAUGUGGAGGAAUACCGAUGGCGAAGGCAGCCCCUGGGCCAAGUACUGACGCUCAUGCACGAAAAGCGUGGGGGAGCAAACAGGAUUAGAUACCCCUGGUAGUCCACGCCCUAAAACGAUGUCAACUAGUUGUUGGGGGAUUCAUUUUCCUUAGUAACGUAGCUAACGCGUGAAGUUGACCGCCUGGGGGAGUACGGUCGCAAGAUUAAAAACUUAAA
rnacentral:rRNA from 1 species